rnacentral:rRNA from 1 species
CCUACGGGAGGCUGCAGUGAGGAAUAUUGGUCAAUGGACGAGAGUCUGAACCAGCCAAGUAGCGUGAAGGAUGACUGCCCUAUGGGUUGUAAACUUCUUUUAUAUGGGAAUAAAAUGUUCCACGUGUGGGAUUUUGUAUGUACCCUAUGAAUAAGGAUCGGCUAACUCCGUGCCAGCAGCCGCGGUAAUACGGAGGAUCCGAGCGUUAUCCGGAUUUAUUGGGUUUAAAGGGUGCGUCGGUGGGUUGUUAAGUCAGUUGUGAAAGUUUGCGGCUCAACCGUAAAAUUGCAGUUGAAACUGGCAGGCUUGAGUACAGUAGAGGUGGGCGGAAUGCGUGGUGUAGCGGUGAAAUGCUUAGAUAUCACGAAGAACACCGAUUGCGAAGGCAGCAUACUGGUGCACAACUGACGCUCAGGCACGAAAGCGUGGGUAUCGAACAGGAUUAGAUACCCUGGUAGUC